rnacentral:pre_miRNA from 1 species
AACGUUACCUUUUUCCUUGGCACUGGAAGAAUUCACCGAUGGAUCAAAAACUCGUGGGUUCUUGGGUGCCAAAGACGAAGGAAUCGAU